rnacentral:rRNA from 1 species
GACGAACGCUGGCGGCGUGCCUAAUACAUGCAAGUUGAGCGCUGAAGGUUGGUACUUGUACCAACUGGAUGAGCAGCGAACGGGUGAGUAACGCGUGGGGAAUCUGCCUUUGAGCGGGGGACAACAUUUGGAAACGAAUGCUAAUACCGCAUAAAAACUUUAAACACAAGUUUUAAGUUUGAAAGAUGCAAUUGCAUCACUCAAAGAUGAUCCCGCGUUGUAUUAGCUAGUUGGUGAGGUAAAGGCUCACCAAGGCGAUGAUACACAGCCGACCUGAGAGGGUGAUCGGCCACAUUGGGACUGAGACACGGCCCAAACUCCUACGGGAGGCAGCAGUAGGGAAUCUUCGGCAAUGGACGAAAGUCUGACCGAGCAACGCCGCGUGAGGGAAGAAGGUUGUCGGAUCGUAAAACUCUGUUGGUAGAGAAGAACGUUGGUGAGAGUGGAAAGCUCAUCAAGUGACGGUAACUACCCAGAAAGGGACGGCUAACUACGUG